rnacentral:rRNA from 1 species
UGGGGAAUAUUGGACAAUGGGCGCAAGCCUGAUCCAGCAAUGCCGCGUGUGUGAAGAAGGCCUUCGGGUUGUAAAGCACUUUUAUCAGGAGCGAAACGCUGUCGGCUAAUACCCGGCGGAACUGACGGUACCUGAGGAAUAAGCACCGGCUAACUUCGUGCCAGCAGCCGCGGUAAUACGAAGGGUGCAAGCGUUAAUCGGAAUUACUGGGCGUAAAGCGUGCGUAGGCGGUUUCUUAAGUCUGCUGUGAAAUCCCCGGGCUCAACCUGGGAAUGGCAGUGGAUACUGGGAGGCUAGAGUGUGUCAGAGGGUGGUGGAAUUCCCGGUGUAGCGGUGAAAUGCGUAGAGAUCGGGAGGAACAUCAGUGGCGAAGGCGGCCACCUGGGACAACACUGACGCUGAGGCACGAAAGCGUGGGGAGCAAACAGGAUUAGAUACCCUGGUAGUCCACGCCCUAAAACGAUGCGAACUGGAUGUUGGUCUCAACUCGGAGAUCAGUGUCGAAGCUAACGCGUUAAGUUCGCCGCCUGGGGAGUACGGUCGCAAGACUGAAACUCAAAUGAAUUGACGGGGUCAUAGCUGUUUCCUG